UCCCUUUGUCAUCGACACCAUCCCGCCGUUGCAGGCUUGUCCCCAUGGCCUCUCUCUUGUGAGCUGUUACCCUGCCCUGGUUCUUUGUCUCUGCCUCUUUCAUGGUUUCUUCCUUUCGAAGAUUUCUUUUUUGUCUCCCUUCUAAAGGUAAGUUCUGCCUUAGCAUCCUUCAUGUUGUAACACAAACAAAAUAUUAGUGAUCUGACAGCAACACCAUUUUCUGUUGAGUUAUUUAAUUUAGAUGAUUGCUGCUAUACAACUUGACUGCCAAAGUCUGUAGCAUUUUCUACUUGAUAAAUAAAGAACCAGGUCACACCAUUUUCUUUACUUUAUUAUUCAGAUUAUAUGCAGGAGUUUUGGUGUGGAUUAUAGAUUCUAAAGUUACUCUUAGCUUGUCAGCUUUGUUGAUCCUAAUUUACGAUGUUCACCAAGGAUUAUAGACCAUGGUACCUUCAUCUGUUGUCGACAAUUUCCUCUUUCAGAUUUGAUGUUAGUUUGUACAAGCUAGUGGGUUGUGCUUAGAUGGUAUGGUUUCUCUGCUAUUUAGAAACUACACUUAACACUCAUAAAGUACAAUGAUCGGAUCCUAAACUGAAAUAUUUAUUUUGGCGGGUUUAAAAUUUGAUGUGGGAUGGGCAUACGAGUUUGAUGUUUGCAGUCCUCUCAGAGCUGCAAGUCGCUCGACAACACGACAAAUUCAGUUACAGAUUUUUACCAAAUCUAACUGAAAUAAAGUUCAGUUCAGCAAACCAUGUCUGUUGGAAGGAAGCAAAUUUCUUGCCUUCCGAAUCCUACGUAGCCAUCAUAUUUUAUUUCAGACUGAAUAGUCCCAGCUCAGUGUAUCCUUGCUAAAAUAAGAACAUCAUUUUUUUAGGGGAUGCCACAAAACAAAAACUGACCAGGACUGCAUCUCUCAUAUUUUCUUGCUUAGAUUGUUAAUCUGAAUUCGUGUUUGAUAUUGUAGUAUGGAGGUUUCACCAUGAUGCAUGUUCUGUUGUCGUUUGUUUUCCAACUGCUUUGAUAUUAAUUUACAAGAUAGUAAGUUUUAUACAUGUGGUUGGAUGUCAAUCUUUACAGUUUGAUGACUAGAUUUAUCCAAGGAAGAAAAACUGAUAUUACUAAUUAUGUGAUAUAUAGAUGCAGAUCCGAGUUGCCAUAAUGGAAUAUGGAUGGACAACACAAAAUAGCCCAGUUCCUUAAUUUUGUGUUUGAUGGAAGUAUAUGGUUCAGCCUGUACUGUCCAACAUAAAUUGACACAAACCUGUGCGCGUUUACUCUGAACGGUAAUGUAGUGCAUGAAUGCUACACACUCUCAAUCGCUCCAUUCCAUGUUGGCAACCUACUUCGUUUAAUCAUGAUGAUUUUGCUCGCAGAUAACAAUAGUCUUGCAAGCUUGAUCCCCAUCAUAAAUCGAAUACUCUUGGUAUGCAUUUUGAUUUAGCUUAUUUCUUUCUUUGGAUUCAUUUAUGUAUCAUUGUUUGUUUCCAAGUGGUUGUCACUCGGAUUUCUGAUAACUGUAGUGUGGGUCUUGCCAGAGUGGUGUAAGGUGGUGUUGUUAUGGAACUUUGCAGCUGGUCCUAGAUCGAUUCAACCUCCAUCUGAAUGUUUUAGUUCAUUUAUGCUUUUGAAAUUUUUCUACAGAAUAGUGAGGUUAUAGUUAUUCCCAAACGCCUUGUGGAGAGUAUUCUUAAUUGUAUUCGCUGCUUCGGGUGCUUGUCUAUAUGUCUUAUGAGUAUUCACCUAUAGCUUGAUAUCCUACGAGAGGAGGACAUUUAUACGUGUUUCUCAAUGAUUUUCACUAAACUAUCCAUGCUGUCAUACAGAGAUGCUAACAAACACGACAACAUGAUUAGUGCGCACAGUUCCGUCUCAAGAGACGCGCCCAGGGCGCGUCCCAGCGACUAGUGGUUCUUGUCUAUAUGUAUUCGGGUGCUUGUCUAUAUGUCUUCUAGUCUUCUUCUUCUAACUUUCUUCGGGUGCUUGUCUAUAUGUCUUCUAGUCUUCUUCUAACUUUCUUCUUUCCCAUUUUGUAGAUUUGCUUCAGAUGACGGAAGCUUGGGUUGAUGGAGUGCUUGUCUUUAGUUUUUGUUUUGACUUUGUGAAACUUGCUACCUAUGAUGAAAUUGUGUAAUAUUGACGAAACUAUGUAUAUGUAUGGAUGAAACUUGCUACUAUUGGUAACAUGUGUUGGAUAUGUGUUUGAUAUAUAUGUGUUCAUGACUAUUGGUAAUAUGUGUUGAAUAUGCUAUAUUGGUCAUAUAAAUAUAUUUGUGUUUGAUUUUCUCUGAAAAUGAAUUGAUAUAAGAGAAAACAAAAUUAAAUCGGGU
rnacentral:lncRNA from 1 species